GGGGAAGACCGGUCGAAGUCCGGCGCUGACCCGCAACGGUAGGUCCCCGGCCAGGGGACGAGCCCGAAUGCCC
rnacentral:ncRNA from 2 species